rnacentral:rRNA from 1 species
UACGUAGGGAGCAAGCGUUGUCCGGAUUUAUUGGGCGUAAAGCGCACGCAGGCGGUUCGCCAAGUUUGGAGUGACAGUUGUCGGCUCAACCGACAAAGGACUUCAAAAACUGGUGAACUUGAGGACGAGAGAGGAACAUGGAACUCCAGGUGUAGUAGUGAAAUGCGUAGAUAUCUGGAAGAACACCAAUGGCGAAGGCAAUGUUCUGGCUCGUUUCUGACGCUCAGGUGCGAAAGCCAGGGGAGCGAACGGG